ACGCUCGACACCUACUGGAGGCAGCAGUGGGGAAUAUUGCACAAUGGGGGAAACCCUGAUGCAGCAACGCCGCGUGAGUGAAGAAGUAUUUCGGUAUGUAAAGCUCUAUCAGCAGGGAAGAUAAUGACGGUACCUGACUAAGAAGCUCCGGCUAAAUACGUGCUAGCAGCCGACGGUAAUCUGAGCGGGCUGGCAAGGC
rnacentral:rRNA from 1 species